AGAGUUUGAUCCUGGCUCAGGAUGAACGCUAGCGGCAGGCUUAACACAUGCAAGUCGAGGGGCAGCGGGAGUAGCAAUACUUGCCGGCGACCGGCGCAAGGGUGCGUAACGCGUGAGCAACAUGCCCGUAUCAGGGGAAUAAUCCAGGGAAACUUGGUCUAAUACCCCAUAGUAAUCUUAGGAGGCAUCUUUUAGGAUUUAAAGCUUUGGUGGAUACGGAUUGGCUCGCGUGACAUUAGCUAGAUGGUAGGGUAACGGCCUACCAUGGCUACGAUGUCUAGGGGUUCUGAGAGGAAGAUCCCCCACACUGGAACUGAGACACGGUCCAGACUCCUACGGGAGGCAGCAGUGAGGAAUAUUGGACAAUGGAUGGAAAUCUGAUCCAGCCAUGCCGCGUGCAGGAUGACGGCCCUAUGGGUUGUAAACUGCUUUUGUAUGGGAGCAAUAAGCCCUUCGUGAAGGGUGAUGAGAGUACCAUACGAGUAAGCAUCGGCUAACUCCGUGCCAGCAGCCGCGGUAAUACGGAGGAUGCAAGCGUUAUCCGGAUUUAUUGGGUUUAAAGGGUGCGUAGGCGGUUGGAUAAGUCAGCGGUGAAUGUUUUCUGCUUAACAGGAAAAAUGCCGUUGAUACUGUCUGGCUAGAAUAUGGUUGCUGUGAGUGGAAUGUGUGGUGUAGCGGUGAAAUGCUUAGAUAUCACACAGAAUAUCGAUUGCGAAGGCAGCUCACAAAGCCAUUAUUGACGCUGAGGCACGAAAGUGUGGGGAUCAAACAGGAUUAGAUACCCUGGUAGUCG
rnacentral:rRNA from 1 species